UACGUAGGGGGCAAGCGUUGUCCGGAUUUAUUGGGCGUAAAGAGCGUGUAGGCGGCCAGGUAAGUCUGCUGUGAAAACUCGAGGCUCAACCUCGAGAUGUCGGCGGAAACCAUCUGGCUAGAGUCCGGAAGAGGAGAGUGGAAUUCCUGGUGUAGCGGUGAAAUGCGCAGAUAUCAGGAAGAACACCCGUGGCGAAGGCGGCUCGCUGGGACGGUACUGACGCUGAGACGCGAAAGCGUGGGGAGCGAACAGG
rnacentral:rRNA from 1 species